GUUUACCAAAAACAUCACCUCUAGCAUUUCCAGUAUUAGAGGCACUGCCUGCCCAGUGACAUCAGUUAAACGGCCGCGGUAUCCUGACCGUGCAAAGGUAGCAUAAUCAUUUGUUCCUUAAAUAGGGACUUGUAUGAAUGGCCACACGAGGGCUUUACUGUCUCUUACUUCCAAUCCGUGAAAUUGACCUUCCCGUGAAGAGGCGGGAAUAUGACAAUAAGACGAGAAGACCCUAUGGAGMUUUAAUUAACCGACCCAAAGAGAUCUUGAUAAUCAACCGACAGGGAUAACAUACCUCUACCAUGGGCCGACAAUUUAGGUUGGGGUGACCUCGGAGAAUAAAACAACCUCCGAGUGAUUUAAAUCUAGACUAACUAGUCGAAAGUACUACAUCACUUAUUGAUCCAAAAACUUGAUCAACGGAACAAGUUACCCUAGGGAUAACAGCGCAAUCCUAUUUUAGAGUCCAUAUCGACAAUAGGAUUG
rnacentral:rRNA from 1 species